rnacentral:sRNA from 1 species
CAUGCCCCUUAUACGCUGGGCUACACACGUGCUACAAUGGGUAGAACAGAGAGUUGCAAAGCCGUGAGGUGAAGCUAAUCUCAGAAAACUAUUCUUAGUUCGGAUUGUACUCUGCAACUCGAGUACAUGAAGUUGGAAUCGCUAGUAAUCGCGAAUCAGCAAUGUCGCGGUGAAUACGUUCUCGGGUCUUGUACACACCGCCCGUCACACCACGAGAGUUGGUUGCACCUGAAGUAGCAGGCCUAACCGUAAGGAGGGAUGCUCCGAGGGUGUGAUUAGCGAUUGGGGUGAAGUCGUAACAAGGUAUCCGUACGGGAACGUGCGGAUGGAUCACCUCCUUUCUAAGGAGAAGAAGUCUUUCUCUAUUCUAUUGGUAAUGUUCUUUACAUUACUUCUGAACAUUGGAAACUAUAUAGUAGAACAAACAAGAAAAAAAUUAACUCUAACAAUUUCUUAGAGUUAGCUGUCAAAAAAUAGAUUAAAAUAAUUAAGGGCACACAAAGGAUGCCUAGGUAGUAAGAGCCGAUGAAGGCACGUGGUAAGCUGCGAUAAGCCUAG